rnacentral:rRNA from 1 species
CCUACGGGAGGCAGCAGUCGGGAAUAUUGCGCAAUGGAGGAAACUCUGACGCAGCGACGCCGCGUAUAGGAAGAAGGUUUUCGGAGUGUAAACUAUUGUCGUUAGGGAAGAGAAAAGACUGUACCGAAGGAGGAAGCCCCGGCGAACUAGGUGCCAGCAGCCGCGGUAAGACGUAGGGAGCGAGCGUGGUCCGGAAUUACGGGGUGUAAGGGGAGCGUCGGCGGGGAUGCAAGUUGGGUGUCAAAACUACCGGCUCAACUGGUAGUCGCACUCAAAACUGCAGCUCUUGAGUGAAGUAGAGGCAGGCGGAAUUCCUAGUGUAGCGGUGAAAUGCGUAGAUAUUAGGAGGAACACCAGUGGCGAAGGCGGCCUGCUGGGCUUUUACUGACGCUGCGGCUCGAAAGUGUGGGGAGCAAACAGGAUUAGAUACCCCGGUAGUC